rnacentral:rRNA from 1 species
UACGGGGGGGGCGAGCGUUGUUCGGAAUUACUGGGCGUAAAGGGCGCGUAGGCGGUCCGCUAAGUUGGAUGUGAAAACUCUGGGCUUAACCCAGAGCCUGCAUUCAAAACUGACGGGCUGGAGUUCUGGAGGGGAUAGCGGAAUUCCUGGUGUAGCGGUGAAAUGCGUAGAUAUCAGGAGGAACACCGGUGGCGAAGGCGGCUAUCUGGACAGAAACUGACGCUGAGGCGCGAAAGCUAGGGGAGCAAAC